UACGUAGGGCGCGAGCGUUGUCCGGAAUUACUGGGCGUAAAGCGUGUGUAGGCGGCCUUGCAAGUCGGAUGUGAAAGCCCCGGGCUCAACCCGGGAAGUGCACUCGAUACUGCAGGGCUUGAGUAUCGGAGAGGUUGGUGGAAUUCUCGGUGUAGAGGCGAAAUGCGCAGAUAUCAGGAGGAACACCCGUGGCGAAAGCGGCUCUCUGGGACGGUACUGACGCUGAGACGCGAAAGCGUGGGGAGCAAACAGG
rnacentral:rRNA from 1 species